rnacentral:lncRNA from 1 species
UACGUUACUAACUCCUUGAUGAAGUAGACUGCUGCUACAAACACUCUCCAGGAAAUACAAUGCGAGGGCAUCGGUGAUGUUCAUGGAUUCGCUAUUUAUCCAUAACAACGUUGCAAUUAUGGCGAAGUGGAGCACAUAUUCAGUGUGGUGUAUGGAGCUGCUCUUACUCAGUUCUGUACUACGUACUAUAUCACAGGCGAAAGGAACGUAUUCAAUGUGCGGUGUAGUUGCAUGAGUUUCUCUGUGCCGAAGAUAAUUGCCUGAGCUUCCAACUGCAGGAAAGGAAGUAGUUUCUAUGGCGAGUCACUGAGGCUACUUCUGAUCUGAGGACAUGUUCACUUUUUGCAGUAACGAUAGCCAGCUCUGCCUGAUCUCCUGCAGCACCAUCGCAGGUCCGCCGCCAAGCAUGAUGAGGCACACACAAUCCCUGGUGCGGAUGGCACUUCCCGUCACAGAAGAAACCUAGGCACAGAAAACAUACUUGUGUUAACAACAAAUUAAUUGUGACAAUAACAAUAGAUGGAAGUCCUCGGAAACAUGGAGAACUAACAUCACCUUCCAAAAGAAAUUCUUCUUGAAGAAUACAGCCCAAAACCCAACCAACGGAUCCCCAUCAGCAACUGUCCAGGAAUCUACAAGGAGGGCCUUUAGAAUCCAGCAUAUGCCAGCCACAGCCCCAGCUAAAGCGACGGCCAGAGCAAGAGUAGAGAACUG